UACGUAGGUGGCAAGCGUUGUUCGGAAUUAUUGGGCGUAAAGCGCGUGUAGGCGGCUUUGCAAGUCGGGUGUGAAAGCCCUCAGCUCAACUGAGGAAGUGCGCCCGAAACUGCAGAGCUUGAGUACCGGAGAGGAUGGCGGAAUUCCCCAAGUAGAGGUGAAAUUCGUAGAUAUGGGGAGGAACACCGGUGGCGAAGGCGGCCAUCUGGACGGAUACUGACGCUGAGACGCGAAAGCGUGGGGAGCAAACAGG
rnacentral:rRNA from 1 species